UACGUAGGGUGCGAGCGUUAAUCGGAAUUACUGGGCGUAAAGGGUGCGCAGGCGGUUAUAUAAGACAGAUGUGAAAUCCCCGGGCUCAACCUGGGGAACUGCGUUUGUGACUGUAUGACUAGAGUACGGGUAGAGAGGGGUGGAAUUCCUGGUGUAGCAGUGAAAUGCGUAGAUAUCAGGAGGAACUCGAUGGCGAAGGCACCCUUGGACCUG
rnacentral:rRNA from 1 species